GAUGAACGCUGGCGGCGUGCCUAAUACAUGCAAGUCGAGCGAACGGACGAGAAGCAUGCUUCUCUGAUGUUAGCGGCGGACGGGUGAGUAACACGUGGAUAACCUACCUAUAAGACUGGGAUAACUUCGGGAAACCGGAGCUAAUACCGGAUAAUAUUUUGAACCGCAUGGUUCAAAAGUGAAAGACGGUCUUGCUGUCACUUAUAGAUGGAUCCGCGCUGCAUUAGCUAGUUGGUAAGGUAACGGCUUACCAAGGCAACGAUGCAUAGCCGACCUGAGAGGGUGAUCGGCCACACUGGAACUGAGACACGGUCCAGACUCCUACGGGAGGCAGCAGUAGGGAAUCUUCCGCAAAGGGCGAAAGCCUGACGGAGCAACGCCGCGUGAGUGAUGAAGGUCUUCGGAUCGUAAAACUCUGUUAUUAGGGAAGAACAUAUGUGUAAGUAACUGUGCACAUCUUGACGGUACCUAAUCAGAAAGCCACGGCUAACUACGUG
rnacentral:rRNA from 1 species